UAAAUGUUGACUUCAUUAUCCUCAAUCACUAAGAAAAUCAAAUUGAAAGCUUGUUUCUUGGCUACUGCUUGAAGCAAGGAACAAAUACACAGGUUGCUGGCAAACGCUAAAAGAUAUCGGAGACUACAUUGUAGAUGUAAUCUGUAAACCUGCUGGACUCGGUCACAACCAUGGAGCCAUAUCACUCCAAAAGGAUAACUCUUCUGCUUGAUUCCCCAGGUUGUGGGAAGACUUCCCUUUUGAGGGCUCUCUCAGGAAAUCUUGACAUAUCUCUAAAGGUGACAGGGGAAGUAUUGAUAUUAUUGCUCAGAAAGUAGUAAUUUACUGUGGAUAAGUGUCCUGAGAAACCUGAGUUGGAAGUCUGUAGUUUACGAAGUUCAUCUUCAU